rnacentral:rRNA from 1 species
AGUGAACGCUGGCGGUAGGCCUAACACAUGCAAGUCGAACGGCAGCACAGUAAGAGCUUGCUCUUACGGGUGGCGAGUGGCGGACGGGUGAGGAAUACAUCGGAAUCUACUUUUUCGUGGGGGAUAACGUAGGGAAACUUACGCUAAUACCGCAUACGACCUACGGGUGAAAGCAGGGGAUCUUCGGACCUUGCGCGAUUGAAUGAGCCGAUGUGGGAUUAGCUAGUUGGCGGGGUAAAGGCCCACCAAGGCGACGAUCCGUAGCUGGUCUGAGAGGAUGAUCAGCGGCACUGGAACUGAGCCAGGGGCAAGACUACUAAGGGAGGGAGCAGUGGGGAAUAGUGGACAAUGGGCGCAAGCCUGAUCCAGCCAGACCGAGUGGGUGAAGAAGGCCUUCGGGUUGUAAAGCCCUUUUGUUGGGAAAGAAAAGCAGCAGGUUAAUACCCCGCUGUUCUGACGGUACCCAAAGAAUAAGCACCGGCUAACUUCGUG